GACGAACGCUGGCGGCGUGCUUAACACAUGCAAGUCGAACGGAAAGGCCCUGCUUUUGUGGGGUGCUCGAGUGGCGAACGGGUGAGUAACACGUGAGUAACCUGCCCUUGACUUUGGGAUAACUUCAGGAAACUGGGGCUAAUACCGGAUAGGAGCUCCUGCUGCAUGGUGGGGGUUGGAAAGUUUCGGCGGUUGGGGAUGGACUCGCGGCUUAUCAGCUUGUUGGUGGGGUAGUGGCUUACCAAGGCUUUGACGGGUAGCCGGCCUGAGAGGGUGACCGGCCACAUUGGGACUGAGAUACGGCCCAGACUACUACGGGAGGCAGCAGUGGGGAAUAUUGCACAAUGGGCGGAAGCCUGAUGCAGCAACGCCGCGUGCGGGAUGACGGCCUUCGAGUUGUAAACCGAUUUCGCCUGUGACGAAGCGUGAGUGACGGUAAUGGGUAAAGAAGCACCGGCUAACUACGUG
rnacentral:rRNA from 1 species